AAUGAAUAUUAAUCAGACAACACACCUGAGAAUAAUUAAUAAAAUCACGAGUAAACUGUCGUCCAAACUAUAUAUGACACAUAGUUCAGAUCAGAGUUUAGGCGAAACAACAUUUUAACUCAAACAACAUGCUACGCCAGAUUCUAAACAAGUCCACCCAUUAAAAGAUCUGGGCUCCAAAUGUACAGUCCAAGCAUUUUUUUUCGAGACUACACAGCACUAAAAAUUGAUCCAUUCAUGAGAGCCACCAGACAAUUGUAAUCAAAUUCAUCGUCAUCUGCCAGAUUCUUUCUAUUAACAAAGAUCUGAAGCUCAUUUGAGCAGGUGUGAGCAAUGAGGUGGUGCUUCGUGUCAUCAUGAACAAAAGUCCGUUUUGGACUGGGAGAAAAUCCAAUUGCAGGAACUUUGCUGCUUCCCGUUGCAAAGGCUAGGCUGUGUCCAGGAUUCAAUGUCAGGAUAAACGCAUUUUCUGCCUCAGUGAGGUUCCUGCCGUUAAGAUGUUCCCCAAGCUCCUUCUCUACAAGGUUGAAAAGUUUCAGAACAAAAGAAUAUAUAUAGACAUUACAAUUUUAUCUACAAAACAGAAUUGUCAUAUAGCUUGACUUCAAAAUAUGUUGCAUAUUCUUGAAGAAAGUUGUCCAAUCCCGGGUUGCUUUACUUUAACUCACUUUAUUUGUUAUAAAGUCGGCAUGUUUCGGUAUGGUAAAUGGAGACUACGGAGGGAAUUGUAUCUAACGCGUGUGAGAGGAAAAUACCGUGAUCUACUUCAAGCCCCCCGGGCUAAGGCCCGGGUGGCUUUCUGCGCCGUCUACCUAUUGAUCUCUGGCCUGUUCACUCGACGUCCUCCGUACAGGACGUCAAGUGGGUGUGGCCUAUGCAGUGGGCGUGGCCUAGUGGGCGUGGCCGGGGUGACGUUGUGGCUUCGGCUUCUUCACUUAAUUAAAGGUGAAGAGGGAGCAGCCUUCAAUAAGGUCUUGCUCCCCUUGUGGCUAUGUGAGGGAAUUGUAUCUAACGCGUGUGAGAGGAAAAUACCGUGAUCUACUUCAAGCCCCCGGGCUUAGGCCCGGGGUAGCUCUCUACCAUCUACCUAUUGAUCUCUGGCCUCUCGAGUUCGAAACCACCCGCUAGCGAGGACGUCAAGUGGGCGUGGCCUAGUGGGCGUGGCCGGGGUGGCGUAAAGGCUUCGGCUCCUUCUGUGGUGGAGCAGCCUUCAAUAAGGUCUUGCUCCCCUUGUGGCUAUGUGAGAGAAAUGCAGCUUCUUAAAAUACUUAUCACAUAUCACUAGAAAGAGUAUGAACGUGUCUAAACUAAUAAAAACAAAAGUGACGCCUUGACACAAAGACUAAAACUAGAAUGGAAACAGGCCGCCAAAAACAGCUGUAGUAGCAAACGUGAUAAACCUGCCUUAACCGACGUUAGAGCAUCGUGUGCGCUUGAAGGAAGAACCAUGAAUUCGACCGGAUGUAGGAUUCGUAAGCUGUGGAAGACCGCCUUCCCAGCCGUUUGAUAGACGCGACCGGCAACCCUUGUUCAGCGGCUGUGGUUGCCGCUCCAAUCCGGAAGGAGUGGCCAAUGUAGAGGGGAGAUGGUGGGCCGCACCCUUCUACCACCGUCGCGAGAUUGACUCUGAACCACCCUUUAGUCAUUGGCAGGCCGCAAAUAAACAGGUGAUUCGGGGACGUGCGUUGCCGAAGCUUGAGAUAAAGGAACAUGGAAGCACAGAGAGUUGUUGAUUCUUGAAAUGAUAAUAGUAACAGCUACUCCUAGGCUAUCGCUUUUAGAUGAAAAAUGCCUUGCAGAGAAGGUGACAUCAGCGAAAUUCAGACACAAGGAGUUAACCGAACAGUGCACGGUAUAAAGAUAAUUAUGAACCUUUGAUUGCGAACGUAGAGUUCUGUGUUGUACCACACCGACGUGUGCAACGAACUCAACAAAUUCAACCGGAUGUAAAAUCCGUAUGCUGUGGAAGACCACCUUCCUAGCCGUUUUGACGCUGCUUUGUUAUCGCAAAACAUGGUUAUACGUUAACGCCGCCAUGCUUUGCCCCACACAACGCUAGCUGCUACGAUAGGGUAAAGCUCGAACAGCACAGACGACUCUGACCCUAGGGCGAACGUACCAGCUUCGACUGGCCAUCCCUCAGCAACCAUUGCCCUUGGAAGAAACCCCCUAACCCAACCGAGGGAGCCGCAUCCUGAAGCUGGACUGGUAGAGCUGUGAGAGAAAAUACGCUGCAGGGGCUAACGCGGGGACUGCAGUAGCCAUGGUAGCAGGGCACGUGCCAGGUGCGUAGCCUGUGAAGGCGGAGGAAGCCGAGCCUGAUGGUUUCUGGAAGUAGAAAGGCGCCGUGGCGACCGACGACAGCGGGUUGGGGGCCUGGACCCGUCCGGGAGUUCCGCAUGGCGUUUCGACGGCGUCCAUCCUGGCGCCAAUGCUUUGCACCAACUCGGCGAGGGUUUGUAGAACCAGGCGGAUGUCCGUGUUGGGAACUUGUUGGUGGUGUUGUUGAGGAUACCGGGGACCGAAAAGAACGGCUUUCUGCGCUCGCUUGCCGGGACCAGAAGUAGUAGGCCGACCAGCACGAAUCCGAAGUUAUGACCUCUUGGUGUGUAUUAACCGACGUAGCAACUAAGCGACGAGAUAUGCGAGAUAAUCAGAAGCACAGUAAAGCAGCAGCAUGCGUCGAACGAAGACCUGAGCAGGAAAGACAUAUGUUAGACUACUCUUUAUAGAGCAGGUGUAGGCAGGUGAUUGGUAGCUGGUGAUUGGUGAUUGGCGGCCAGCCGCGCGUGAUUUGAGUCCUCCUGGUAGAACUACCAGCAAGCUUAACAUUUCUCAUCUACUGCUAACGUUAACGGUUAUCUAGCAGUUACACUGCAGUUAGCUACAUACCGGC
ensembl:lncRNA